UGUGACCCACACCAGUCCACUAACACCCAGGAUGUGACCCACACCAGUCCACUAACACCCAGGAUGUGACCCACACCAGUCCACUAACACCCAGGAUGUGACCCACACCAGUCCACUAACACCCAGGAUGUGACCCACACCAGUCCACUAACACCCAGGAUGUGACCCACACCAGUCCACUAACACCUGGGUACCUGUUUUACUGAUACACGAACAGGGACAGCAGGUGUCUUAGGGAAACACUUGACUGAGUAGCCAGUUGUUCAGGCAAAAUAUUUUGGCAAUAAAGAUAGUGUAUAAUAAUAAUAUGAUACAAAUACUAACUGCUUCUCUUAAUCAUGUGAAGUCCACUAUCAGAUCCAUACUUUUUAAACAUGCAGCAAGCAUAAAUAUUAGAAAAAUGGGCAGGACAUGGGAAUGACACAGUGACAUGGACAUUACAAGCACGUCUUUAACCUGAGUGGUCAGGAAGUUGAAUGAUUUAGAUGAGCUGAUGAAAACAAACACUGUUCAUAGCUUUAAGCAUAGGUAUGAUGGGGCCCAUGAGGUAUGCAGGAAACAAAACCAGUGGUAUGCAGUAAAUAGGCUGGGUCAGAAGUAGAGGGUGCGCCAAAAUAUCGAUAUUAGUGGGUAUAGCUAAAUUUUGAUGGUAUCGUCUUACAGCUAGGUAUUGGUAUCAGUUAAUUUUGAUGGUAUCUGCUUGCAAUUGAGUAUCAGUAUUGGCUAAUUUUGAUGGGAUCAGCAUUGGCCUAAAACUGAGGGUCAAUAUUGGUACUAACAAAAUUUUUGACAUUGUCCCAUCACUGGUCAGAAGUGGGGACUCUGCCUCAUUAUUCACAAAAAUCUUUGUAAAAAGUAUCCUGUUAAUCUGUGCUCUCCCCAGCAAUUCAUUUACACAUUUUACUAACCCUAUUUCAUUGUUAGGGUUUAUUUGACAGCUGCAACAUAACCCACUGGCUUCCUCAGGUAAUCCUAGGUAAUCCAAAAAGGAAAACACAUUCAUCAGCAUUUAUUCAGUUGCAUUUUUCCCGAAGUGUGCUGAUAUCGCACUUGGAUUACCCUCUGACUGCAACUUCCUCACCCAUCAUCAUUAAUGAUUAAAAUUCAUGUGCUGUAACCUAUUUCACUAUUUGUUAGCUUAAGGUUUGCCUAAAGGAUUGAGUAAUACUGUACAGAGGUUACAAAAAUAGGUAUUAGUUAUGUAAUGAAUGAACAUGCCAGUAGACUGUAUAUUUGUAAAUAAAAAGUUUGUAUGAUAGUGGUGUUUAUUCUUCAGGAAACAAUAAUGUCUCCUGACAGGAGUCCUGAUCAGAUGAUGACCCAUCAUUGGGUAAGCAUCUGCUGGCACACCCCAGCUAGGUUUUACAUCCAUUUAAAAAACAAAGAUUAAAAUAUUAAAGAUUUUAUUUCUUUGCAAAGGCUACAAUAUGUAGGGAUAUAUGUAUUAAAGGUAGGGAUAUAUAUAUUAACCCUUAAAUGGUCCAAACGUAUAUAUACGUUUUUUCAACAUCUGAAAGUACGUAAAAAAAAUGUAGAUCUCUUUUGUUUUACAUUUGAAAACGUGUAAAAAACCCCUUUUAUCUAUAUUUUUUUUUAUUAUAUUUGAAAAUAUGUAAAAAAAAGUAGAUCUACUUUUGUAGCACUACGAAUUUGAACGUCGAUCCGUUUGGACCGUUUAAGGGUUAAAGAGUGGUAUAGGGUAAGGAGUGUUGUUUGGGGUGCAUAGUAUCGUAUCUUGGAAAGGCUGCCUACUGAUUUGGAAAUUUUCUUGGGUAUAUGCUGGAAGUGGAAAUGAAAUUUAAGAUUACAGUCAAGGAGAAGACUAGGAAUUUACCCUCAGUGUAUCCUAAGAUAACCAUAUGCAUAUUCUAAGGAUUUAGGGACCUGAAUUUCCAUGACCCACAAUUACAUUCUGACCUAACAGAGUGGUUGUCAAAGAGUGUGUAUACUUAGGACUGACUUUUUUGAAAUAGAAAGCUGCAUGACUCACAAGAUCAUAAUGUAAUAUCAAACAAACCACAGAACAGGUGGGCUUUGAUCCCAUGGCAAGUGAGUUUUAGGACUCACCAUGGGUUGAACCCCCACCCAUUAAUCAUCUGGAAUAACAGCUUGCACACGUGUGGGAUAGUUAAGGCUGUAAACCUGUGUUACUUGGCUACGAAAAAAAACAUUCACUAUCGUCUCUUUGGAAAUCCACUCAUAGUCCCCAUGGAAUCCUUGCAGUACCAGGAUGAUGAUGAAUUGCAUGCAAUGCAUGGGUGUCUAUCUGAAGAUGUUUUGGCAACCAGGGGCUUAAAUGAGUGUCAGUGCUGUAUGACCCUAGUGAGUUUAGUGCUUAGUUUUGUUAAUAAUAAUAAAAGAAUAUGCAGAUUAUUUACAAAAACACUAGAGUUUGAGGUAACCAGUCUCUCAGCCUGGCAGAACUAUACACAUAAGAUAAUGGAAGAUGAAGUAAUCAAUUCUUCAACCUUGAAGGCAGUGUUCAGUACCUUAGUCUUAAUUACUAGACUAAGGGUCUUAUUACCUCCUCUUUUACUGUCUUACCUGUCAUCUGUGUAUCCAUAAAGCUACCAGUUGGCAAAAAUGCCUUCAAGGAAAGAUACUCAGUUGUUGCACAUGCCUUGCAUCAAAUCUGAUCCCCCCCCCUUUCCUUCCAUUCCCCUUGUGUUGUAUGCCUCCACUGCACUGUAUGACCUUGUAUGUUUAUAUUAUAAUGUAUGCUUCCUACAGGUUUAGUGCUUCCCCAUGAAAACAAUAAUCCAUAAAAGAAUUAGCCUUCAUUAACAAUGUAACUGAAGGAAUACUUCAGGCUUGGCAUGUCUUCACUAUUGCCAUCAGUUUCGUACUUUAAUCCAGCCAAUGUUUACACAUAACAUUAGGUAGCUCUAUAUAUUAACUUUGUAAUUUUCUUCUAUGAGGUUGGAAAAUACAAUGUUCUAAAACAGUAGUUUAGAAAAAAAAAUUAGAAUCAUAUACUCUUAAGGUUAAAUACUAACAAGCUAUGAAUUAUAAAUAUAAAUUUUGAUUUCUUUUUUAUGGUGCCCCAUGGCCUGGUGGCAAAAACUCUUGCUUCACACAGUAAGGGUCUGGGUUCGAUUCCCAGUGAAGGGGUGGAAACAUUGGGCGUGUUUCUUUACACCAGCUGUCUAUGUUCACCCAUCAGUAAAAUGGGUACCUGGGUGUUAGUCAACUGGUGUGGGUCACAUCCUGGGACAAAACUGACCUAAUUUGCCCAAAAUGCUCAGCAUAACAAGGGACUUUCUAUAUACAGUGGAACCUCUACUUACAAGUUUAAUCCAUCCCAUGACCUUGCUCGCAUCUGGAUUUGCUCGUUUACAGAGUCAAUUUUCCCCCUUUAAAUUAACUGAAAUGGAAUUAAUGCGUUCCGGUGGAAUUCCAGGCAUGACAGAAUAUUUCAUUAUUUCCCUAAUAUCAACUCUACAGCUCAUUUAUCUAUCACAGUUCAUCUAAUAUGACAUAAUAAACAAUAUUAAUAACAGACACAUGAUAUAUAUGCUAGAACGAAUAAAAUACAUGUCAUUACGUAUGUGGCUAGUGAUGGUGACAGCGGCCAUUGUUGUUGUUGGGGUUUAUAGGGCCACCACAGCGGCCAUUCCUGCUCCUGACUACAUGUGUAGAGAACCUAGGAUAACCCAAAAAAAGUCAGACAGAGUGACUUAUAAUCGCUACUCUCUUAAUGCUACACUUAAUUGCUACACUCUUAAUGCUACACUUAAUUGCUACACUCUUAAUGCUGCACUUUGUCACUGACUCCUGCUUUCGUAUUGUACAUAUUGUAGAAGUGGUACACUGGUACUACCUGGCCAAAUCUUUAACCCUCCACCUAGUUUGUUUAUCUAUUAUUUCCUGCUUUAUUUCCAUGGAAAUCAUCCUCUUUUUCUUCUCAGCACUGUCUUUUGCACUUGCUUUCUUAGGAUUCAUGGUUAGAAGCAAGAAAUAACUGCACGAAACAUAAGAAAAACACGAGAAUUCCCUCCACUGAGAGUGGAGUGGACUGAGCAUUGUUGUGAUACAUACUGCCAGCUCAUGGUGGCAUUUGGAAACUCACUUAUAGUAUUGGGUACAACAAGGUUGCUACCAGGGUACAACAAGGUUGCUACCAAGGUACAACAAGGUUGUUUUCGAGGUACAAGGUCUGCCAUUGCUGCUUCAUAUUGUCUGCCACUGCUGCUUCAUGAUGUCUUCAACUGCUGCUUCAUAUCUACCACUGCUACCUCAUGUUGUCUGCAACUGCUACUUCAUGUCUACCACUUUUGCCUCAUAUUGUCUGCCACUGCUGCUUCAUGUUGUCUGCCACUGCUACCUCACAAUGUCUGCUCCCACUUUUGCUAGAGUGUUGAAGAGCUUUCCAAUAUGUGAAGGUUGAGGGGCAGUGCCAAUUGGACAAGUAUUGGACGGUGACAUCAUUUGUUUAUUCUUGAACAGUGCCAAAGAGUCGAACAUUUCUGCUACUUUGAGCUCAAUUUCAAGGUACUUUUCAUCAUGAAACCAAUUAAAAUCAUAUCUAUUUCUGUAGUAUAUCUUCGAUUAUAUUAAAUGAGACCAAAAAACAAGAAUACAACCAUAAAAACCACGCAAAAAUAUACUGCUAAGGGAAGGCUAAUGGCUGAAAAGUGAACUCCAUUAUUUAAGGUCCAAUUUCUUUCAGUUUUGGUGUAUGUUAAGAAGCAUCUUUCCAUCAUACAUUGCCCAAGUUUCAAUAAGAUAGUCCAACAAACAACUAGAUCAAGAGCAAGAGCUCCUCACCAGUGUCAAGGAACCUCCCUUGAGGCCCACUCACAUCCGGAAAUUUUGCUCAUGUCUGGAAGCAAAAAAUCAACUAAGUGACUGCUCAUAUCUGGAAAAGCUCGCAUGUUGGGGCACUUGUAAGUAGAGGUUCCACUGUAAUAGUAUGUCAUUGAUGUCAGCCAUGGUCUGUAUAUCUUGUACAUGUACUUGUAGAAAUAAAGAUAUUAUUAUUAUUAUUAUUAUUAUUAUUAUUAUUAUUAUUAUUAUUAUUAUUAUUAUUAUUAUUAUUAUUAUUAUUAUUAUUAUUACAAAAGUAAUGUAGUUUACCUGUAAUAAAACAAUGUUAGGCACAAAAGAAAGCCACUGAUAUGCAAUGCAUUUCCAGCAAACUAAUCCUAAUGUCAUGAUGGUAUGAAACAAUUUAUUGCAAAGAAGGCUAAAAUGAAUAACAACAAUGAAUGGCAUAACAGAGAAUAAAACAAUCUGCAUUAACUGCAGCCCCACAUUACCCUGCCCAUACAAAUAAAUUUUUAUUUAUGGGGUACAAAAAUAAUGUAGUUUACAUGUAAUAAUAUGCUGUCAGGCACAAAAAACAGCCACUAGUGUGCAAUGCAUUUCAGGCAAACUAAUUUUAAUGCUUCAAGACUAUUUAAGAAUUAGACAUAGACUGUUAAGUAGGAUUUCUUAUGCAGUUAAUAACUGUACACCAUAAAAUGACUUUCAGGUUUAGCAUUCCCCAUGAAUAAAUAAUUUUAACAUGAUGGCCAGUUUUCCCUGAGGGAGAGUGACUCCAAGAUGGUUCACGUGUCGUGUACAUAUGCAGUAUUGAAAAGUGAGGAAUUUUAAUACAAGACUCAAGAAAAUACUCAAUCAUUCAGCAGUUAAUACCAAUGGUGCUUUUAAAAAAAAACUAACAGAAUGGAAACCUUUUAUAAGACAAUGAUUCACAGUAGAGACCAAAUUUUUUAAGCUUCUUCUUAUACACUUAUAUUUUCCAGUCACUUUCAUAUGGGAUUGUAGGAGAGCACAGAGAAUAAUUAUCACUCUGAUACCACUAGUAACAGCCUUUUAAUCUCUUCCACAUUAAUGAUAUCUGAGAACACAUCUAAGCUACUUAAGAAAAGCACAAGUUUCACCAUCUAAUAACAUGGUCAUUUUUUGUUUAUAAUCAACCUGAGCUUUGCUCAGACCUCUGCAACAUAGUUAUCCUUGAAGAUUUAAGUCAGACAAUGAAUUAAGGAAAGAUCGUAGACUUCACCUUACAAAAGCAGACAAAGCAAAUGCACUAGUAAUUAUAGAAAAGGUAGAUUAUAGUGCAAAAAUUAACAUGUUACUAGGAGACAGAGAAACUGACGCCCUCCUUAAGAAUAGUCGGUUACAUUACCUAAAAUCAUCCCCACUAUUGUCAAGAAUAUUACUAGAAAUGUGAGGAUUAAUACUAACCUCAAGGAGUUAGUUUAAUGACUUUAUACUAUCUUUAUUAAUCACCUCAUUCCCAUGGUGUGGGCAGUAGUCAAAAUAUUACAGAGGCACAUCAUGGGACUGGGCAUCAAUGUUACAGUGUUAGUUUAAUUAGUUUAAUAUAUUUAUUAUGCACCCCAUACCCAUCCAGUGGGCAGUAGUCAAAAGAUUACAGAGGUACAUAAUGAGUCCAGGGACUGGGCCCCAAAGUUUUGAUAGCUGAACUAGUUACAAAGGUAAUGAACUCCAGGUAGAUCUGGUCACAAUCAUGACAAGUUAUAAAGGUAUUUGCAGCUUACAGAGGUACAUAAUGGGUCCAGGGACUGGUAAUGAACUGUUUACAUAUUUAUAUCUGGUUACAAUCAUAAUGAGUUAUUUAUGCACUCAUCAAUUAGGUCACACACAAAAAAAAUACAAAAACAUUACCUUAUAUUUUAGCAUGGUAUGCCUGAAAUAAAAAGUGUUUAUGUGGUUAUACAUUAUUUACAGCGGCAAUAAUGCAUAACCAUUUAAUCCCCCCUAAGGAUAAUGCAACACUAAUUAUGUAGAUACAUUUAGCAUAAACUAAUUAUAAGGUUUACCAACUGCUUAUAUCUAGACCUAGAAUAAAAUUUAAGUUGGUAUAACUUGGGUAAUUCAUUAUAAUCAUAUGUACUAUGAGACAGGUUGCAAGUGAAGAAUUGGUCAAUUACAUCAGUUCAAUGACCUGCAUGUUAUGAUGUGGUUGAACUGGGGUGUUGAAAUCAAAGCAUUUACAGACAGCCAAUGGAUAUAUCAUAUAUGUAAGAUUUAAUUGGCACUUUUUAACAAAACCAAGAUGUUGGCAGAUGGGAAACUUUCGGAAUUUUCAGGCAGAAAGUUCUAAAUUUUAGAGCCUUUUAUCUGCAUGGAGUUUUAUUUGAAUAGAUUGAGUCAACCAUGUAGAAUGUCAGAAAGAUACUUGUUCUAUGUAUUGUGAAAAUGUGUUCUAUUGUAACUCUGCAAAUAGAAUUUAAGCUCUGGGUUAAUGUUUGUAUUGAGUGUCCUAUAGAUAUAACUGACACAGUAGAAAGUGUGAAUAUUGUGUAGGUUGAUUAAAUCUAGACUUUGGAAUAAGGGGGAUGUGUUGUCUGGAGCUUAAAUGAGUAAUAAUGCUGAGAGCAGAUUUUUACUAAGUAACAACAUUUUUAAGGUAACAAUAUGUUGUUGUUGCCCAUAUGUGAAGUAUGGAGAGAUCAGAGAGUAGUUCAAAGUGAUCAGGGAUGUUUGGAGCACAUAAUAGUGCAUUUCUGAGAGAAUGCCCACUGUUCUAGAAAUUUUAUUAGAAAUGUUCUUCUCUCUAUAGAUUUGAAAAGCUUGGUUCCCUUCACAAAACAUUAUCUCGAUAAAGGUUUUCACUGCCAUAAAGUGUUUUCGUUAAACCUAUGAAAGAUAUAGGGCAAUACAGUUUAACCAAUAUUUUGAAAUAUACUAUAAGUAUAUAUGUACAGAAAUAAUUUUUUGUAAUAAAAAGAUAAAUUUA